AAAAAAUUAUAAAUUUGCCGGCAUGAUUGUAAUGGAGAGGAAACAUAUUGAUUUGAGCCAACUGCUUUCAAACACCACCCACAGCAUCAUAACCAACCUCGUCCAGCCUUUCCUCAUCGUCUCUUUUCCCGUGUUCCCCUUCACAAAAGAUUUGACACUCUCUUCAAUCUUCAUUGCAGUUCUGCGCCUGUUGGCACAUGUGCCGGUGGGGUAAAUGUUGUUCAGCUGAAAACACACUCGUUAUUUUGUUCACCUAGAUAAUAGUCUCUUUCAUUAAAAUUAGUGUAAACUUUGUUAACAA
rnacentral:misc_RNA from 1 species